GGUGCAUGGCUAGAAAGCUGGAGGUGAGACAAAAGCCCAGUUAAUCUGGCUCCAUAAUCUGUGCUCUUAACCACGAUGGCAUAUUGCUUCUAAUUAAGGGUUAAUAAUAGUAUUAGAUGUGGAUACUAGUAUUGUUUUUAUUUUUAUUACCUAUAUAGGUUUUUAUAAUAAAGUCACAUAUAAACCCAUCAGUCAAUACAAAAAAAAAAAAAAAAAAAACAAAUACAAAUAUAUCUAAAACAUACAUUCUUUGGAUCAGUAUGGGAGUAAAUUCAGCAAAUUCAUAUGGGUAGAUAAUCCUAUCUACAAAAACUAUGCUAGAUUUUCAUUAAAAGAUCCAUCCCAUCCUGGUGGAUUAGUUCUUAGUUUCCUAGAACUAACCCCCCAGGAAUAAGUUAGGAAUCCAAAUUUUAACAGACAGAACGUUUUAGAAAAAGAACACAACCAGGAUAAAAGCAUCCCAUGUUCCUCUCAACUACUCAUUAUUUGGAAAGAAAAAUUUCAAAUAUUUAGAAUGAUUAUUGGAAACAAAAAUUUUUAAGGAAAUAAUUACGCUUCCAUUAGCUGAACUUUGUUAACACUUAUAGGUAGAAGUCACUAGGCAGGCAAAGGAUGUAAAAUAACCUAAAACAACCUAGGAAUUCAUAUAUAAGUAAAACUUGCUUGUAAUAUUUUAAUGCUGAGGCCUGAAAUAAACGUCUACAUCUGUAAUGUUCCCUUACUUUCCUACUUACUAAUUUCUCAGCCUCUUAAAAAAUCUGGUAAACUGAAAUUGCACUCUCAUGUUUUCAUCAAACUGCCUUUCUCUAGAAUCUAUGCAUGACUCCAGGCAUGUGGUAGAGACCAUCAUUAGAAAGCCACCUACCAGCUCCCACCAAAAUGGCUAAAGCACAGGCACCUGGUACUUUCCAGGCACUUUCCAUGCCUUCGUUUCUCUGCAAAUGCUGCUUUCUUUCUCUCCUUAAAAUGUCACCUGAAUAAACACUUAUCCUUCAAAAUUCAGCUCAAAUGAAACCAUCUCUAAGUAGCAAAGAUACGUCUGAUGUCCUUACUCACUAAAUCCACUUAUCUAACACCUAGCACGAUACCAACCUAGCACACAGUGGGGGAACAGUACACCAGUGUCGAACGGAUUAACUACAUUUCAUUAUUUGUUUAGAUACCCUACAGGAAGUUUCAUAGUCAACUUUUUAUAACUCCAGAUACCCAGUACAGUACCAGAAACUCACUGAAGUUUUGCUAAAUAAAUGUGUCAUUUUCCAUUUUCAUGAUAGAAAUAAGUACUUUCCAUAUGCUCAAUAAGCAUUUGUUAUAGGGCAGGCACAGUGUUAGAGGAAUACAGAAAUUAAUAAGACAUAGAUCUCUAAGGAGUCCAAAAUCUUGUGGGGAAGGCAAACGAGAAAAUCAGUAAUUGUAGUGCAGAGUAAAAAGUAGUACUCUGAACAGAAAUGCACCUUUAAAAUACCUCUUAAAGGUAUUUUAAGAGCUCAAAGGAAGAGCACCGGAAAAGGGCACAUAACUCCUCCAUGCAUAGUACAAAAGCCCCACAGACUAAACUUGUAUAAUAAUGCAUAAAGUUCUUUUAAAAAGUUUCUACAGAGAUUGGCAGGAGGAAGAGCAGCACAAAAAUUACACUUUCCAGAGCAACAUCAGUUACACACUUUUUUCGUUUUACCCUCCAGUCCUCACAAAAAUCUGGCAUACAAACUUAAAAAAGGAAUUUUACAGGAUAUGUAUGAAACAAAAAUGUUGAGUCCUUGGCUCGGUUUACUGCAAACCAAUGAAAGAACUGUUUGUUAAAAUUUCAGCCAGCGAGACUGCAAAAAAAAAAAAAAAAAAGUUUCAAGACUCAAAAAUACAAAUAAUCAUGCCCUCAAGUAUUUGCCAUUUUAUGAAGGUGAAGGAUUUACAUCUGGCUUUAUGAAAAAAAAAAAAAAAAAGACUACUUAUGAUUAAAAUUGCUUUGAGGCUAACCCUACCAU